CUUGACAGAGUCAGGUAUUUUUCCACAUGAACAUGCAUGCUUUUUUGCUUUCUCUCCAUCUGAAGUCCAGGACUGGUACAUCUGAGAAACAGCAGAAGAAAAAAGUUAAAAGCAUCAAGGUAGUGAUGAUAUCCCUCAAGUCCAGUUCAGAAAACAUGGGUUUCCUUAGUGACAAUAUGAAGUGGCUUGCUACUGCCUUCUUUCAGGCUUCCUGAGUCCAGUCACCAGAGAGCGAACAAGAUAGUGAGCAAGAAUUCAGAAAGUCCCACCCCCUCUCUUUCAUUGGUCAGUUCGAGGAGGAGAAAACACCUGCCCUUUUUUACAUCUGUCUGUCACAGC